GGAGGGUGCAAACGUUGCUCGGAAUUAUUGGGCGUAAAGCGCACGUAGGCGGACUGAUAAGUCGGAUGUGAAAGCCCUCGGCUCAACCGAGGAAGUGCACUCGAAACUGUCAGUCUUGAGUACGGGAGAGGAUCGCGGAAUUCCCGGUGUAGAGGUGAAAUUCGUAGAUAUCGGGAGGAACACCAGUGGCGAAGGCGGCGAUCUGGACCGAUACUGACGCUGAGGUGCGAAAGCGUGGGGAGCAAACAGGGAUUAGAUACCCUGGUAGUCCACGCUGUAAACGCUGAGUGCUAGAUGUCGCGGGUAUUGACCCCUGCGGUGUCGUAGUUAACGCGCUAAGCACUCCGCCUGGGAGUACGGCCGCAAGGCUA
rnacentral:rRNA from 1 species